rnacentral:misc_RNA from 1 species
UUGGUUCAUUAUUUUAUAAUUUGCUGAUGAGAGUUAACCCACACAGCUAAUAUAAGUUAUGAUUCACUUUUUUGAUAUAUUUUUUCUCCCCCGAAAGGAAGUAAAAAUAUUGGAAAAACAUUUGGGAGCCAAACAACAAUAGUUCAGCCCAAUUGUAAUGCCGGUUCGCGGUUCGCAAAAGGUUAGGGAGUACCCCCCCCCCCGGUGAAGGGAGAUAGAUACUCAACAACCGAUUGUUUGUUUUAGGGUGUGGUAAUGAUCCUUCCGCAGGUUCACCUACGGAAA